ACUACGGGUAGCAGCAGUGAGGAAUAUUGGUCAAUGGACGAGAGUCUGAACCAGCCAAGUAGCGUGAAGGAUGACUGCCCUAUGGGUUGUAAACUUCUUUUAUAUGGGAAUAAAAUGUUCCACGUGUGGGAUUUUGUAUGUACCAUAUGAAUAAGGAUUGGCUAACUCCGUGCCAGCCGCCGCGGUAAUACGGAGGAUCCGAGAGUUAUCCGGAUUUAUUGGGUUUAAUGGGGGCGUAGUUGGUUUUUUAAGUCAGUUGUGCAAGUUUGCGGCUCAAACGUAAAAUUGCAGUUGAAACUGGCAGUCUUGAGUACAGUAGAGGUGGGGGGAAUUCGUGGUGUAGCGGUGAAAUGCUUAGAUAUCACGAAGAACUCCGAUUGCGAAGGCAGCUCACUGGACUGCAACUGACACUGAGGCUCGAAAGUGUGGGUAUCAAACAGGAUUAGAUACCCGAGUAGUC
rnacentral:rRNA from 1 species